UACGAAGGGGGCUAGCGUUGCUCGGAAUCACUGGGCGUAAAGCGCACGUAGGCGGCUUUUUAAGUCAGGGUUGAAAUCCUGGAGCUCAACUCCAGAACUGCCUUUGAUACUGGGAAGCUUGAGUCCGGGAGAGGUGAGUGGAACUCCGAGUGUAGAGGUGAAAUUCGUAGAUAUUCGGAAGAACACCAGUGGCGAAGGCGGCUCACUGGCCCGGUACUGACGCUGAGGUGCGAAAGCGUGGGGAGCAAACAGG
rnacentral:rRNA from 1 species